GCAAGUCGAACGGUCUUAAACUUUCGGGUUUAAGAUAGUGGCGAACGGGUGGUAACACGUAAGAAACCUGCCCUAAAGUCGAGGAUAACUAUUGGAAACGAUAGCUAAUACUGGAUAGGAUAUAAAACCGCUUGGUUUAACAUUUAAAGGUCCGUUUGGACCGCUAUAGGAUGGUCUUGCGCUGCAUUAGUUAGUUGGUGAGGUAACGGCUCACCAAGACGAUGAUGCAUAGCUGGUCUGAGAGGAUGAAC
rnacentral:rRNA from 1 species